rnacentral:lncRNA from 1 species
GUCACUUGCCCCGCGCAUUCCCCCACCCCGCCCCCAUGCCGCCUCAAGUCCUCCUAGCCCUGACACACAGCUGGGACUAUCACGUCCAACCGGAGGUCCUGGACUAGCUCCCACAGCACGAGAAAUCUUUCGUGGCGAAGCAGCAGCCCCUGAGCUGCCUCCUCUGCAUAGGAAUCGCCCUAUCUGUGAUGUCACCGACAGCGCCUUUCCCGUCCCCGUCUGCUCUUCCGCCCCACCCUCUGCCACUCGGCCGACCAACCAGCUGCGGGAGCGGGCGGAGAAAGUGACACCUGACUCUACCUCCUUUCCCUCCCAUCCCCAUCCCUGGUCUCUCCCAAAGAAGUGGCCACAGAGUGCAUGUGCUAUGAGGGACCCGUCCGACAUAUACCCUCCCAGAAGAGCAGGAAAGGGGGUUCAUAAAGAUGUUCUUCUGAUGGGGAGUGUCCUAUAAGGCCACCUUCACAUGGGAGGAUCGCAGCGCAUUUCGGCCAAGACAGGUGAGACUGCGGUUCUGACCUGCGGGCCUCGAUGAAUUGCGUUAGGACACCUGGGCUCCGGGAGAGCCGUUCCACUCCGCAAAGUAAGCGUGUUAUGUCUACAACCCAACGGGGACGCGCUAAGAGCCCCAAAGGCCCUGCUUUCAUCCCAAAGAACAGCCCCCGCCUGCGUAGUUUGUACCCGGCUCUAUGAGGUGAGAACACAUUCCCCGAUAGCACAGAAAUCCUACAAACUCCUGAGGGGGCUGCGGCUAGAAGCAGACGCUGUGUGAAAUGUGACUGGAGGUUAGGGAAAAACACGUAGAUUUUCACAGACCCUGAGAACCCAAGAGACUGCAGACCAUGGACAGACAAAUCUCUGCAAAAAGCAGCCCCGCGUAGAUAAAGGAAGAGCUGUGCGGCCUUCGCGCUAGCUAGCUUGUGUAAAGGUCGACGCUUCUUAUUUCUCCCGAGGCGGGGAGAAAGCGACAUAUUACUACUAUUCCUCAACCUCCGACUGUGAGAGAAACGAUUAAGAGUAAAGCACAAGCCAGUAAAAAAAACAAGUAACCCUCGCCGUGCAGACUGUUCUUUAAACUACAAAAAUCAGG